AUUGAACGCUAGCGGCAUGCUUUACACAUGCAAGUCGAACGAGUGGCGGACGGGUGAGUAAUAUAUCGGAACCUGCCCGGUAGCGGGGGAUAACUACUCGAAACGGUGGCUAAUACCGCAUACCAUCGGAGCGGCCGAUAUGGGAUUAGCUAGUUGGUGGGGUAACGGCUCACCAAGGCAACGAUCCGUAGCUGGUUUGAGAGGAGGACCAGCCACACUGGAACUGAGACACGGCCCAGACUCCUACGGGAGGCAGCAGUGGGGAAUUUUGCACAAUGGGGGCAACCCUGAUCCAGCCAUGCCGCGUGUAUGAGAAGGCCUUCGGGUUGUAAAGUACUUUUGGCAGAGAGGCGGUAUCUGCAGAAGAAGCACCGGCUAACUCCGUGCCAGCAGCCGCGGUAAUAC
rnacentral:rRNA from 1 species